rnacentral:rRNA from 2 species
UGGUAAUGCCGGAUGCUCCAGUUGAUCGCAUGGUCUUCUGGGAAAGCUUUCGCGGUAUGGGAUGGGGUCGCGUCCUAUCAGCUUGACGGCGGGGUAACGGCCCACCGUGGCUUCGACGGGUAGCCGGCCUGAGAGGGCGACCGGCCACAUUGGGACUGAGAUACGGCCCAGACUCCUACGGGAGGCAGCAGUGGGGAAUAUUGCACAAUGGGCGCAAGCCUGAUGCAGCGACGCCGCGUGAGGGAUGGAGGCCUUCGGGUUGUAAACCUCUUUUAUCGGGGAGCAAGCGAGAGUGAGUUUACCCGUUGAAUAAGCACCGGCUAACUACGUGCCAGCAGCCGCGGUAAUACGUAGGGUGCAAGCGUUAUCCGGAAUUAUUGGGCGUAAAGGGCUCGUAGGCGGUUCGUCGCGUCCGGUGUGAAAGUCCAUCGCUUAACGGUGGAUCCGCGCCGGGUACGGGCGGGCUUGAGUGCGGUAGGGGAGACUGGAAUUCCCGGUGUAACGGUGGAAUGUGUAGAUAUCGGGAAAGAACACCA